rnacentral:lncRNA from 1 species
ACUGGAUUGGAGCUGGGGAGUGGCUGAUGGAAGCCUUCUCCAGGAGAAUGAAGCAAUGCACCCCUGCCUAAUUGGAAGGGACUUCUUCCAGCCCAGACUCAGAGGAGAGGUGGACUAGUUCUGCCUCAGGACUUCAGGCAAAGCUGUCCCUGCUCCAGCUCCAGAUUCCUAUGGUGCUGAAGCAGCCAGGUGAGGAAGUGCCAUAGCUGCACUGGCACCCUCAGCAAACCCUGCUGUACACAUGGAAGCUGCUGGGUUGCUUCUCCCCAGGCUCAGGUCUUGCCAUAGAACUUCUUCCCACCUGGGUUCAAAUCUGAUCUCAGCCCACUUCUAUUGAUCUGCAAAGAGGUGAACCUGAAGAAGAUAGCUUGUCCAGGACAGUCCCCUUCGGAGCACCGCUUGUUUACCCUUCAUGACUGUGCAGCCAGCUGGGAGUACCAGCGUUUAUCAGAUCACAUGUUGCCAGCAAAUUGUUAACUGCUUCCAGAUGUGCUGGAGGAUGCUUGUCAUCCCAGCACCGGGAGACUGAGGAUAUGCAUUUGCAGUCA